UACGUAGGGUGCAAGCGUUGUCCGGAAUUACUGGGCGUAAAGAGCGCGCAGGCGGUCGGAUAAGUCGAAUGUGAAAGCCCCCGGCUCAACUGGGGAGGGUCAUUCGAUACUGUUCGACUCGAAGGCAGGAGAGGGAAGUGGAAUUCCCGGUGUAGUGGUGAAAUGCGUAGAUAUCGGGAGGAACACCAGUGGCGAAGGCGACUUCCUGGCCUGUUCUUGACGCUGAGGCGCGAAAGCUAGGGGAGCAAACGGG
rnacentral:rRNA from 1 species